ACCUAAGAUAGCUCAGAUGGCAGAGCAUGAGACUCUGAAUCUCAGGGACGUGGGUUCCAGCCCCAUGUCGGGUG